rnacentral:lncRNA from 1 species
UUCAAGUAAUAGGUAUUAAGGGACUCCUGAGUCAACAGCUCUGUGCUAAGUGGAAGAAGCUGGAGACAUUUUCGAUUCUAGGAGUGUCCAUGGGUCAGCUGGGGUGUCUCCGCUCCUCGUGUCUCUUAUCCUCCUUGGACCUAGCCAGGAAUGCUCUCAUGGGAAUGGCAGAGGCAAAGAUGGUAAGCUCAGCUGUGCAAGUACUUUCAAGCCUCUGUUGCGUCUCCUCUGCUGACAUCUCAUUGGCCAAAGCACAGCAAGGAUGGG